rnacentral:rRNA from 1 species
AAAGGCUUGGGCGGGGCGUGCCUAAUACCUGCACUGUCGAGCGAACAGAGAAGGAGCUUGCUCCUUUGACGUUAGCGGCGGACGGGUGAGUAACACGUGGGCAACCUACCUUAUAGUUUGGGAUAACUCCGGGAAACCGGGGCUAAUACCGAAUAAUCUAUUGUCCCUCAUGGGACAAUACUGAAAGACGGUUUCGGCUGUCGCUAUAGGAUGGGCCCGCGGCGCAUUAGCUAGUUGGUGAGGUAACGGCUCACCAAGGCAACGAUGCGUAGCCGACCUGAGAGGGUGAUCGGCCACACUGGGACUGAGACACGGCCCAGACUCCUACGGGAGGCAGCAGUAGGGAAUCUUCCACAAUGGGCGAAAGCCUGAUGGAGCAACGCCGCGUGAGUGAAGAAGGAUUUCGGUUCGUAAAACUCUGUUGUAAGGGAAGAACAAGUACAGUAGUAACUGGCUGUACCUUGACGGUACCUUAUUAGAAAGCCACGGCUAACUACGUGCCAGCAGCCGCGGUAAUACGUAGGUGGCAAGCGUUGUCCGGAAUUAUUGGGCGUAAAGCGCGCGCAGGUGGUUUCUUAAGUCUGAUGUGAAAGCCCACGGCUCAACCGUGGAGGGUCAUUGGAAACUGGGAGACUUGAGUGCAAAAAAGGGAUAGUG